rnacentral:rRNA from 1 species
ACGCUGGCGGCAGGCCUAACACAUGCAAGUCGAGCGGCAGCACGGGUACUUGUACCUGGUGGCGAGCGGCGGACGGGUGAGUAAUGCCUAGGAAUCUGCCUGGUAGUGGGGGAUAACGUUCGGAAACGGACGCUAAUACCGCAUACGUCCUACGGGAGAAAGUGGGGGAUCUUCGGACCUCACGCUAUCAGAUGAGCCUAGGUCGGAUUAGCUAGUUGGUGAGGUAAUGGCUCACCAAGGCGACGAUCCGUAACUGGUCUGAGAGGAUGAUCAGUCACACUGGAACUGAGACACGGUCCAGACUCCUACGGGAGGCAGCAGUGGGGAAUAUUGGACAAUGGGCGAAAGCCUGAUCCAGCCAUGCCGCGUGUGUGAAGAAGGUCUUCGGAUUGUAAAGCACUUUAAGUUGGGAGGAAGGGUUGUAGAUUAAUACUCUGCAAUUUUGACGUUACCGACAGAAUAAGCACCGGCUAACUCUGUGCCAGCAGCCGCGGUAAUACAGAGGGUGCAAGCGUUAAUCGGAAUUACUGGGCGUAAAGCGCGCGUAGGUGGUUUGUUAAGUUGAAUGUGAAAUCCCCGGGCUCAACCUGGGAACUGCAUCCAAAACUGGCAAGCUAGAGUAUGGUAGAGGGUGGUGGAAUUUCCUGUGUAGCGGUGAAAUGCGUAGAUAUAGGAAGGAACACCAGUGGCGAAGGCGACCACCUGGACUAAUACUGACACUGAGGUGCGAAAGCGUGGGGAGCAAAC